UACGUAGGGUGCGAGCGUUGUCCGGAAUUAUUGGGCGUAAAGAGCUUGUAGGUGGUUUGUCGCGUCUGCUGUGAAAAUCCGAGGCUCAACCUCGGGCCUGCAGUGGGUACGGGCAGACUAGAGUGCGGUAGGGGAGAUUGGAAUUCCUGGUGUAGCGGUGGAAUGCGCAGAUAUCAGGAGGAACACCAAUGGCGAAGGCAGAUCUCUGGGCCGUAACUGACGCUGAGGAGCGAAAGCAUGGGGAGCGAACAGG
rnacentral:rRNA from 1 species